rnacentral:rRNA from 1 species
CAGCACCUCAAGUGGUCAGGAUGAUUAUUUGGCCUAAAGCGUCCGUAGCCGGCCGUGUAAGUCUCCCGUUAAAUCCAGCGUCUCAAGCGUUGGACUGCGGGAGAUACUGUACGGCUAGAGAGUGGGAGAGGUCAGCGGUAUUCUGGGGGUAGGGGCGAAAUCCUUUGAUCCCCGGAGGACCACCAGUGGCGAAGGCUGCUGACUAGAACACGUCUGACGGUCAGGGACGAAAGCUGGGGUAGCGAACCGGAUUAGAUACCCGAGUAGUCC